UGUUUUUCACAAUAGAGAAGAACUUAAGAGAAGAAACAGUGAAUCUUAUUCCAAGUUUGAGGUAUCUGGAAACACAGACAUUUGGAAAUCUGAGGAUGCUCCAGGUUAAUGUGGUUGUAUAAAUAUGAAUUAUUAUGUGUGGAGACAGUGGAUGAAUUAGCCUGAAGAUGAUUUUGGAAGUCAGAGUAGCUGGCUAUCUCAAGGACAUCCAUUUCCUGAAGGCUCUCAAGAUGAAAUAAAAAAGCCAAAAUGUUAAUUUAAAUCCUUCAGAACGUACCACAAAACAAGAUAUUUAACAAGUCUGUUGUCUAAAAGGAUUUUCUAAGAGAUAUUCCACAAUUAUGUCUUACAUCAAACUUUCCAUCUCAAUCAGAAUGAGAGAGAGGGUUUAGUCAUAGUGCACAUUAAGCAUCCUUUCCCUAUCCUACUUUUCAAGGUAAGUCACAAGAUCUUUUUUUUCUAGUAAUUAAGA
rnacentral:lncRNA from 1 species